rfam:Homo sapiens chromosome 15 genomic contig, GRCh38 reference assembly alternate locus group ALT_REF_LOCI_2.
GCCAGGUGUGGUGGUGCAUGCCUGUAAUCCCAGCUGCUCUGGAGGCUGAGGCAGGAUAAUUAGUUGAAUCCAGGAGGUGGAGGUUGCAGUGAGCUGAGAUCGAGCCACUGCACUCCACCCUGGGUGACAGAGUGAGACCCUGUCUCAA